UACGUAGGGUGCAAGCGUUGUCCGGAAUUAUUGGGCGUAAAGAGCUCGUAGGCGGUCUGUCGCGUCGGCUGUGAAAACUCGGGGCUCAACCGUGUGGUCUGCAGUCGAUACGGGCAGGCUAGAGUUCGGUAGGGGGAGACUGGAAUUCCUGGUGUAGCGGUGAAAUGCGCAGAUAUCAGGAGGAACACCGGUGGCGAAGGCGGGUCUCUGGGCCGAAAUUGACGCUGAGGAGCGAAAGCGUGGGGAGCAAACAGG
rnacentral:rRNA from 1 species